rnacentral:rRNA from 1 species
GACGAACGCUGGCGGCGUGCUUAACACAUGCAAGUCGAACGGCAAGGCCCUGCUUUUGUGGGUUGCUCGAGUGGCGAACGGGUGAGUAACUCGUGAGUAUCCUGCUCUUGCCUUUGGGAUAACUUCAGGAAACUGGGGCUAAUACCUGAUAGGAGCUCCUGCUGCAUGGUGGGGGUUGGAAAGUUUCGGAGGUUGGGGAUGGACUGGCGGCUUAUCAGCUUGUUGGUGGGGUAGUGGCUUACCAAGGCUUUGACGGGUAGCUGGCCUGAGAGGGUGACCGGCCACAGUGGGACUGAGAUACGGCCCAGACUACUACGGGAGGCAGCAGUGGGGAAUAGUGCACAAUGGGCGGAAGCCUGAUGCAGCAACGCCGCGUGAGGGAUGACGGCCUUCGGGUUGUAAACCGCUUUCGCCGGUAACGAAGCGUGAGUGACGGUAAUGUGUAAAGAAGCACCGGCUAACUACGUG